UGUAUUUAUUAGAUAAAAAACCAACGCCCUUCGGGGCUCCUUGGUGAAUCAUAAUAACUAAGCGAAUCGCAUGGCCUUGCGCCGGCGAUGGUUCAUUCAAAUUUCUGCCCUAUCAACUUUCGAUGGUAGGAUAGUGGCCUACCAUGGUGGCAACGGGUAACGGGGAAUUAGGGUUCGAUUCCGGAGAGGGAGCCUGAGAAACGGCUACCACAUCCAAGGAAGGCAGCAGGCGCGCAAAUUACCCAAUCUCGACACGGGGAGGUAGUGACAAUAAAUACUGAUACGGGGCUCUUUUGGGUCUCGUAAUUGGAAUGAGUACAAUCUAAAUCCCUUAACGAGGAACAAUUGGAGGGCAAGUCUGGUGCCAGCAGCCGCGGUAAUUCCAGCUCCAAUAGCGUAUAUUAAAGUUGUUGCAGUUAAAAAGCUCGUAGUUGAACCUUGGGUCUGGCUGGCCGGUCCGCCUCACCGCGAGUACUGGUCCGGCUGGACCUUUCCUUCUGGGGAACCUCAUGGCCUUCACUGGCUGUGGGGGGAACCAGG
rnacentral:rRNA from 1 species